rnacentral:rRNA from 1 species
AUUGCCCUAGUAACGGCGAGUGAAGCGGCAACAGCUCAAAUUUGAAAUCUGGCCUUCGGGUCCGAGUUGUAAUUUGUAGAGGAUGCUUUUGGUGAAGUGCCUUCCGAGUUCCUUGGAACAGGACGCCUUAGAGGGUGAGAGCCCCGUACGGUUGGACACUGAGCCUCUGUAAAGCUCCUUCGACGAGUCGAGUAGUUUGGGAAUGCUGCUCUAAAUGGGAGGUAAAUUUCUUCUAAAGCUAAAUACCGGCCAGAGACCGAUAGCGCACAAGUAGAGUGAUCGAAAGAUGAAAAGUACUUUGAAAAGAGGGUUAAAUAGCACGUGAAAUUGUUGAAAGGGAAGCGUUUAUGACCAGACCUUUGCCGGGCGGAUCAUCUGGUGUUCUUCACCAGUGCACUUCGCCCGGCUUAGGCCAGCAUCGAUUUCUUUAGGGGGAUAAAGACCUAGGGAACGUAGCUCCCUACGGGGAGUGUUAUAGCCCUAGGUGUAAUACCUCUAGGGGGAUCGAGGUUCGCGCUUCGGCAAGGAUGCUGGCAUAAUGGUCAUCAACGACCCGUCUUGAAACACGGACCAAGGAGUCGAACAUUUAUGCGAGUGUUUGGGUGUUAAACCCUCACGCGUAAUGAAAGUGAACGGAGGUGAGAGCCCUUUAGGGGGUGCAUCAUCGACCGAUCCUGAUGUCUUCGGAUGGAUUUGAGUAAGAGCAUAACUGUUCGGACCCGAAAGAUGGUGAACUAUGCGUGGAUAGGGUGAAGCCAGAGGAAACUCUGGUGGAGGCUCGCAGCGGUUCUGACGUGCAAAUCGAUCGUCAAAUCUGCGCAU